AGAGUGAACGCUGGCGGCAGGCCUAACACAUGCAAGUCGAACGGCAGCACAGUAAGAGCUUGCUCUUAUGGGUGGCGAGUGGCGGACGGGUGAGGAAUACAUCGGAAUCUGCCUAUUUGGUGGGGGAUAACGUAGGGAAACUUACGCUAAUACCGCAUACGACCUACGGGUGAAAGCGGAGGACCUUCGGGCUUCGCGCAGAUAGAUGAGCCGAUGGUCGGAUUAGCUAGGUUGGUAGGGUAAAGCCCACAAGGCGACGAUCGUAGCUGGUCUGAGAGGAUGAUCAGCCACACGUGGAACUGAGACCGACGGUCCCGGACUCCGUAGGGAGCAGGCAGGUAGGAUAUGGACAGU
rnacentral:rRNA from 1 species